CGGAAUAUACCAAUAAUUAUUAAUGUACAUUUAAGAAAACUAAGGGAAUGCAGCAGAGAUUAUUGAAUUAUAUCAUGCUAGCAGAAUACAUUUCCCAAACACAAUUAGAGAAACUAUAAAGAAUAAAAUAUCAAAAUAAAUUGCAGAAUAUCAUUUCUUUCAUUUUCCAACACUUUCUAGCAAAAGUCAGCAACCCGCGCUCUAAUUUAACAUCAUGUUACCAAAAUCGUACAUACAAAAUUAUAAUACAAAAAUAAUAAAAUAUCUCCCAAUAUGACCAAACAACAAAUAUAUCCCAUAUUUAUUAAUAAAUGUUCAUUAUAUAUUAAUCCCUGUACACAGAAAUUAAAAUACCAAUACUGCAAGCUAUCAUACAAAAUUCGCAAGUCAUUCGAAACCAUUUUCCAAACUUCAGCAUCAAUUGGAAAACUAAAGAUCAAAUAAAGUUUCAAGAAAAAUCUUCAGUCCCUCAUUUUGUAGCAAUAUACACGUAACAAAGACAAGUUAUUUACAUAAAAAUGUUAAAUAAAUAAAAGAAAUAAAACCUCGUCAUUAUCCUCGGACUCCUGGGCACACUGAAUCUUGGACUCGAUGACUCGGAGGAGUGACUCGUCGGAACUCGGCCUUUUAGUGGAAUAGUGAUGAACGGAAACCGAAAACGAUCUCGGGAACAAUUUCCGCAAAAGAUCGCCAUGGGUUUUCACAGCGUCAAAGAGGGCAGAGCAGUGGUGGUGGUACCUUUGACUUCCAGGUGAAGCCCGGAUGGCCAAAGGUACAACUCGUGAAGCUGUUCUCCGGAUUGUGUUAGCGAGUGCCAUUUUUGUUGAGUGAGAUUGAGGUCCUUGAGGGUUUGAAAUGAAAACGGGGGUUUGCAAAAGAGGAGGCUUCUGCUAUUUUAGGGUUUAGGGUUUUAGAAGGGGCUUUUAUAUAUUUUUGGAGGGGGAACCAUGAGAUGAGGUAUUAAUUUCACAAAUGUUAUUAUUAUUAUUAUUAUUUUAGUCAUUUUUUAUCAUGAAAAUCCAUUUAACAUCACAUUAAAUUUAUGAUAAGGGGCAAUUUUUCCAAAAAAACACUGGAAAGGAAGCUUCCUAAUCCAAUUUUCAAAUCAAUAGAUGUGAAUUUCACAAGAAGUCAGGAACAUAGAAGAAUUGGCGUAAGCACAUGCACAGAACCGAUCAAAAGUUCUUCCAUUCGACAUAUUAAAAUCAUUCAGGUUCUAAACAAAAAAUUGAACAAAAAUAAACAAAUCAGAGCUUCCAACAAUGGGAACCUAGAACAUACAAACAAGUACAAUCCACCCAAUCCCCCAACGAAAUUUCCUUAUAACAAAUAAUGACGAAAAAAGAAACACAAAAAGAUUAAAAAUACAUAAACCUCAGAAACAUGUCGAAGCGAUAGCAAGAAAGGAGCAUCGGAGAAGUCGAUCAAACUCUGCAACCUUAAUUCGCAGAGGGCAGACCUGUGGCUGAGGCUGCAAGAGUGGGAGACGACAAUCAACGAACGGGAGUCAGGACUCACAAGUCGUAAGGGAGGUAGAAAUUAAAAUAUAGGGUUUGGAAAUUGGAAUCGGG
rnacentral:lncRNA from 1 species